rnacentral:rRNA from 1 species
GGAACUGAGACACGGUCCAGACACCUACGGGUGGCAGCAGUCGAGAAUCAUUCACAAUGGGGGAAACCCUGAUGGUGUGACGCCGCGUGGGGGAAUGAAGGUCUUCGGAUUGUAAACCCCUGUCAUGUGGGAGCAAAUUAAAAAGAUAGUACCACAAGAGGAAGAGACGGCUAACUCUGUGCCAGCAGCCGCGGUAAUACAGAGGUCUCAAGCGUUGUUCGGAAUCACUGGGCGUAAAGCGUGCGUAGGCUGUUUCGUAAGUCGUGUGUGAAAGGCGCGGGCUCAACCCGCGGACGGCACAUGAUACUGCGAGACUAGAGUAAUGGAGGGGGAACCGGAAUUCUCGGUGUAGCAGUGAAAUGCGUAGAUAUCGAGAGGAACACUCGUGGCGAAGGCGGGUUCCUGGACAUUAACUGACGCUGAGGCACGAAGGCCAGGGGAGCGAAAGGGAUUAGAUACCCCUGUAGUCCUGGCAGUAAACGGUGCACGCUUGGUGUGCGGGGAAUCGACCCCCUGCGUGCCGGAGCUAACGCGUUAAGCGUGCCGCCUGGGGAGUACGGUCGCAAGAUUAAAACUCAAAGAAAUUGACGGGGACCCGCACAAGCGGUGGAGUAUGUGGCUUAAUUCGAUGCAACGCGAAGAACCUUACCUGGGCUUGACAUGUAAUGAACAACAUGUGAAAGCAUGCGACUCUUCGGAGGCGUUACACAGGUGCUGCAUGGCCGUCGUCAGCUCGUGUCGUGAGAUGUUUGGUUAAGUCCAGCAACGAGCGCAACCCCUGUUGCCAGUUACCAGCACGUGAAGGUGGGGACUCUGGCGAGACUGCCCAGAUCAACUGGGAGGAAGGUGGGGACGACGUCAAGUCAGUAUGGCCCUUAUGCCCAGGGCUGCACACGUACUACAAUGCCCAGUACAGAGGGGGCCGAAGCCGCGAGGCGGAGGAAAUCCUGAAAACUGGGCCCAGUUCGGACUGUAGGCUGCAACCCGCCUACACGAAGCCGGAAUCGCUAGUAAUGGCGCAUCAGCUACGGCGCCGUGAAUACGUUCCCGGGUCUUGUACACACCGCCCGUCACAUCAUGGAAGCCGGUCGCACCCGAAGUAUCUGAAGCCAACCGCAAGGAGGCAGGGUCCUAAGGUGAGACUGGUAACUGGGAUGAAGUCGUAACAAGGUAGCCGUAGGGGAACCUGCGGCUG